rnacentral:RNase_P_RNA from 1 species
UAAGUAGAAUAAAUGAUCGCGGCUGCACAGACGAAAGGGUGCAGGUGAGGAAAGUCCGGGCUUCACAGGGCAGGAUGCCGGAUAACGUCCGGUGGAGGCGACUCCAAGGCCAGUGCAACAGAAAUAAUACCGCCCCUGCAGGCGGAGCUUCCGUCCGCAGGCAGAAGACGCGAAGGCGUGUUCUGGACGGAUUCCGCGACAGCGGAAUCUGUCUGGUAAGGGUGGAAUGGCAGUGUAAGAGACUACCGCUGGGCUGGUAACAGAACAGGCUGUGUAAACCCCAUCCGAAGCAAGACCAAGCAGAAAGCGACAGCUUUGCCCGAGCUGCUUUCAGGUAGGUCGCUAGAGAUUAUCGGCAACGAUAAUUCCAGAUAGAUGAUCAUUCAAGACAUAACCCGGCUUAUCGUUCUGCUUAGUUU